GAAANCCUUUUUAAUCGUCUCGGCAAUUCGCGANGUUAAUGAUCAUGGCUCAGAGCUGACCGCUGGCGUUAUNAGCCUAACACAUGCAAGUCGAACGGCAGCACAGGAGAGCUUGCUCUCUGGGUGGCGAGUGGCGGACGGGUGAGGAAUACAUCGGAAUCUACUCUGUCCGGUGGGGGAUAACGUAGAGGGCAGGGAAAAACCAAACUUUUUAAACCAGCCUAAAUACCUGGCAAAUUUAAAACCGGNAAAAACCCCCCCUUAUUUAAAACCGGUUGGUGUUUGGAACAGCCAGUGUGCUGCAAAGCCCUUUUUUCCCUGGGCUUGGGCGUGGGACCCCCCCUUUUUAUUUGGGACAGCCCCUUGGGACCCGGGACAAACCUUUUUUUUUUGGGGAAAANCACAAAUUUUGGGAGCAAACACGGACCCCCCCCGGGAAACUUUUGGUUCCGGCA
rnacentral:rRNA from 1 species